UACAGAGGGUGCGAGCGUUAAUCGGAAUUACUGGGCGUAAAGCGCGCGUAGGCGGCUUUGCAAGUCGGGUAUGAAAUCCCCAGGCUUAACCUGGGAACUGCAUUCGAGACUGCAUUGCUAGAGUAUGGGAGAGGGAAGUGGAAUUUCCGGUGUAGCGGUGAAAUGCGUAGAUAUCGGAAGGAACAUCAGUGGCGAAAGCGGCUCACUGGCUCGAUACUGACGCUGAGGUGCGAAAGCGUGGGGAGCAAACAGG
rnacentral:rRNA from 1 species